rnacentral:rRNA from 1 species
GACGAACCAUGCAAACGUUAUUCGGAAUUACUGGGCUUAAAGCGUGCGUAGGCGGCUCAGAAAGUUGGGUGUGAAAGCCCUCGGCUCAACCGAGGAAUUGCGCCCAAAACUACUGGGCUUGAGGGAGUUAGAGGUGAGCGGAACUCACGGUGGAGCGGUGAAAUGCGUUGAUAUCGUGAGGAACACCGGAGGCGAAAGCGGCUCACUGGGGCUUCACUGACGCUGAGGCACGAAAGCUAGGGGAGCAAACGGG